CAGUCGCCGCGGGAAUACGUAGGCAGCAAGCGUUGUUCGGAAUUACUGGGCGUAAAGAGUGUGUAGGCGGUGCUCUAAGUUCGGUGUGAAAUCUCCCGGCUCAACUGGGAGGGUGCGCCGGAAACUGGAGUGCUCGAGCGUGGGAGAGGAAAGCGGAAUUCCUGGUGUAGCGGUGAAAUGCGUAGAUAUCAGGAGGAACACCUGUGGUGUAGACGGCUUUCUGGACCAUUGCUGACGCUGAGACACGAAAGCGUGGGUAGCAAACAGGAUCAGAUACCCCUGUAGUCCCUGUCUCUUAUAA
rnacentral:rRNA from 1 species